rnacentral:rRNA from 1 species
CCUACGGGAGGCAGCAGUGGGGGAUAUUGCACAAUGGGGGGAACCCUGAUGCAGCGACGCCGCGUGGGGGAAGAAGCGCCUCGGCGCGUAAAGCCCUGUCAGCAGGGAAGUAAAGGACGGUACCUGAAGAAGAAGCCCCGGCUAACUACGUGCCAGCAGCCGCGGUAAUACGUAGGGGGCAAGCGUUAUCCGGAUUUACUGGGUGUAAAGGGGGCGCAGAGGGCGAUGCAAGCCAGGAGUGAAAGCGCGGGGCCCAACCCCGGGACUGCCGUUGGAACUGCGUGGCUGGAGUGCAGGAGGGGCAGGCGGAAUUCCUGGUGUAGCGGUGAAAUGCGUAGAUAUCAGGAGGAACACCGGUGGCGAAGGCAGCCUGCUGGACUGCAACUGACGUUGAGGCCCGAAAGCGUGGGGAUCAAACAGGAUUAGAUACCCCAGUAGUC